GAUGAACGCUGGCGGCGUGCCUAAUACAUGCAAGUCGAGCGAACGGACGAGAAGCUUGCUUCUCUGAUGUUAGCGGCGGACGGGUGAGUAACACGUGGAUAACCUACCUAUAAGACUGGGAUAACUUCGGGAAACCGUAGCUAAUACCGGAUAAUAUUUUGAACCGCAUGGUUCAAAAGUGAAAGACGGUCUUGCUGUCACUUAUAGAUGGAUCCGCGCUGCAUUAGCUAGUUGGUAAGGUAACGGCUUACCAAGGCAACUAUGCAUAGCCGACGUGCGGGAGGGAUCGCCCACACGAGAACUGGGACACGGUCCAGACUCCUACGGUAGGCCGCAGUAGGGAAUCUUCCGCAAUGGGCGAAAGCCUGACGGAGCAACGCCGCGUGAGUGAUGAAGGUCUUCGGAUCGUAAAACUCUGUUAUUAGGGAAGAACAUAUGUGUAAGUAACUGUGCACAUCUUGACGGUACCUAAUCAGAAAGCCACGGCUAACUACGUG
rnacentral:rRNA from 1 species